rnacentral:lncRNA from 1 species
GAGACGAUGCUCCUAUCAGCUUCUUGUUGUUCCUGACAGAGGAGUAUGAAGCAAUGAGAGGCCUCGGGCUCUCGGCUGCUGCAAGAUGGCAGGAGGAGGCUUGCUUGCAAUGACAGACGGGAGAUGGGGAAAGCUCUUCCUGUAUUUCCUAGGUCAAGAUCUUGCUGUCCUGAAUCAGUUCUGGCUGAUCCCGACUUCACUAUUCUCAGUCCUCCCUGUGUUGGGACUAUAGGUGUAUGCCAACAUCUAUUGCAAGAUUGAUAUCUAUCUAUCUAUCUAUCUAUCUAUCUAUCUAUCUACCUAUCUAUUUCUAUUUUUAAUUAAAGAGCUGACUAUGUGUCAUGCAAUAGCCCA